rnacentral:rRNA from 1 species
CCCUUUGGGUGUGACUGCGUACCUUUUGUAUAAUGGGUCAGCGACUUAUAUUCUGUAGCAAGGUUAACCGAAUAGGGGAGCCGGAGGGAAACCGAGUCUUAAUUGGGCGUUAAGUUGCAGGGUAUAGACCCGAAACCCGGUGAUCUAGCCAUGGGCAGGUUGAAGGUUGGGUAACACUAACUGGAGGACCGAACCGACUAAUGUUGAAAAAUUAGCGGAUGACCUGUGGCUGGGGGUGAAAGGCCAAUCAAACCGGGAGAUAGCUGGUUCUCCCCGAAAGCUAUUUAGGUAGCGCCUCGUGAAUUCAUCUCCGGGGGUAGAGCACUGUUUCGGCUAGGGGGCCAUCCCGGCUUACCAACCCGAUGCAAACUGCGAAUACCGGAGAAUGUUAUCACGGGAGACACACGGCGGGUGCUAACGUCCGUCGUGAAGAGGGAAACAACCCAGACCGCCAGCUAAGGUCCCAAAGUCAUGGUUAAGUGGGAAACGAUGUGGGAAGGCCCAGACAGCCAGGAUGUUGGCUUAGAAGCAGCCAUCAUUUAAAGAAAGCGUAAUAGCUCACUGGUCGAGUCGGCCUGCGCGGAAGAUGUAACGGGGCUAAACCAUGCACCGAAGCUGCGGCAGCGACGCUUAUGCGUUGUUGGGUAGGGGAGCGUUCUGUAAGCCUGCGAAGGUGGCCUGUGAGGGUUGCUGGAGGUAUCAGAAGUGCGAAUGCUGACAUAAGUAACGAUAAAGCGGGUGAAAAGCCCGCUCGCCGGAAGACCAAGGGUUCCUGUCCAACGUUAAUCGGGGCAGGGUGAGUCGACCCCUAAGGCGAGGCCGAAAGGCGUAGUCGAUGGGAAACGGGUUAAUAUUCCCGUACUUGGUGUUACUGCGAAGGGGGGACGGAGAAGGCUAUGUUGGCCGGGCGACGGUUGUCCCGGUUUAAGCGUGUAGGUGUGUGUUCCAGGUAAAUCCGGUUCACUUUAACACUGAGGCGUGACGACGAGGCACUACGGUGCUGAAGCAACAAAUGCCCUGCUUCCAGGAAAAGCCUCUAAGCAUCAGGUAACAUCAAAUCGUACCCCAAACCGACACAGGUGGUCAGGUAGAGAAUACCAAGGCGCUUGAGAGAACUCGGGUGAAGGAACUAGGCAAAAUGGUGCCGUAACUUCGGGAGAAGGCACGCUGACACGUAGGUGAAGUGAUUUACUCAUGGAGCUGAAGUCAGUCGAAGAUACCAGCUGGCUGCAACUGUUUAUUAAAAACACAGCACUGUGCAAACACGAAAGUGGACGUAUACGGUGUGACGCCUGCCCGGUGCCGGAAGGUUAAUUGAUGGGGUCAGCGCAAGCGAAGCUCCUGAUCGAAGCCCCGGUAAACGGCGGCCGUAACUAUAACGGUCCUAAGGUAGCGAAAUUCCUUGUCGGGUAAGUUCCGACCUGCACGAAUGGCGUAAUGAUGGCCAGGCUGUCUCCACCCGAGACUCAGUGAAAUUGAACUCGCUGUGAAGAUGCAGUGUACCCGCGGCAAGACGGAAAGACCCCGUGAACCUUUACUAUAGCUUGACACUGAACAUUGAGCCUUGAUGUGUAGGAUAGGUGGGAGGCUUUGAAGUGUGGACGCCAGUCUGCAUGGAGCCGACCUUGAAAUACCACCCUUUAAUGUUUGAUGUUCUAACGUGGACCCGUUACCCGGGUUGCGGACAGUGUCUGGUGGGUAGUUUGACUGGGGCGGUCUCCUCCUAAAGAGUAACGGAGGAGCACGAAGGUUGGCUAAUCCUGGUCGGACAUCAGGAGGUUAGUGCAAUGGCAUAAGCCAGCUUGACUGCGAGCGUGACGGCGCGAGCAGGUGCGAAAGCAGGUCAUAGUGAUCCGGUGGUUCUGAAUGGAAGGGCCAUCGCUCAACGGAUAAAAGGUACUCCGGGGAUAACAGGCUGAUACCGCCCAAGAGUUCAUAUCGACGGCGGUGUUUGGCACCUCGAUGUCGGCUCAUCACAUCCUGGGGCUGAAGUAGGUCCCAAGGGUAUGGCUGUUCGCCAUUUAAAGUGGUACGCGAGCUGGGUUUAGAACGUCGUGAGACAGUUCGGUCCCUAUCUGCCGUGGGCGCUGGAGAACUGAGGGGGGCUGCUCCUAGUACGAGAGGACCGGAGUGGACGCAUCACUGGUGUUCGGGUUGUCAUGCCAAUGGCACUGCCCGGUAGCUAAAUGCGGAAGAGAUAAGUGCUGAAAGCAUCUAAGCACGAAACUUGCCCCGAG